rnacentral:lncRNA from 14 species
AAAAACGGCCUGGAGCUGACAGCCUCUCUGCCGCUUUAAACCCACUCAGGAACAGCUCCCAAGACGAGACAAAGUGCUGAUGAAUGCCCCGCUAUGUGUAGCAACCCUGCAGAGCCCUCCCCACCACUCUAAACUCAGCGGAUGAAUCACACCAGGAGGCGGCGUAGUCAGCCAGGAGGAGGACUGGAGGAACCUCCCCCGGAAGCGACCCCGCCUUCCCUCUGCGUCUUGGGCCUGCUCUUGGCGCGCCCUCACUGCCUCCGCCAUGGCCAUGCUCUGCGCCACCACCCAGACGCAGUAAUGGCGACUGCACGCGGAAGUGGGGGUAGACUGACUCUGCCCCCACCAGCUCCCUUCCUGUCAGCAGAGCGAAAGUUACCUGAAGGACAAAAGGACGCAACGGACAAUGCAGCCCUGUGAGCCAGGGCCUGGCCGCUUGGCCUGGCCUGAGUGGGGACCUGGAAGUGCCACUGGAGCAGGGCAGCCUGUUGUGCAGUGCCUGAGGCAUCUCCAACCACAGCAGGGCUCCAGGUUCAGCCUGGGGGACCAGGCAUCACUGAACCUUCUGAUCCCUACCUGGGUGCUCAGCUGCACUAUGGAGCCACCUCUGGAGCUGAGGCCCAGCCCCACUGGAGCAGAAGUGAUUUCAACCAGUCCCCACAUGGAUGAGACCCUGCAGAGCUCAGUCCCUCCUUGCAAAAGAUGCUAAAUUCAAGGACCUGAUGAUCUUAAACAGCUGGGAGUAACUGGAAACACCACCACACUGGCCAGACCAACAGCGUCUUCUGCCUGGACAACCUACAGACAGGAUCAACAGCAUCUAGUGAUGUAGCCAUCACCUACAGCAUAAUCAGGCUGACCUGAAACAGAGAGCACAAAAAAAUUAGAUUUGCUUAUGAGAAGUGCUCAUUACAAGAUUCUACACAGGAAAGAUACACUGGCCACCUGUGUUAGAGGGAUAGAAGGCAAUGGAGGAUGAGGCUGAAAGAGAUGUCUUGAUUCUAUGAUUCUAUGAUUUGCUGAACAACCAAAGCAUUUUACAAAGUUCCAUCACUAAAGUGCCACUGGGAAUUAUAUAGCUCAUGGUGUUGAAUCAGGCAAAGGCCCAAACUGCAGAGACUGGUGGGAUCCCAACCUUGGACAUCAUUAAGCUCCAUAUAUGACUAUACUCAGGGCUUUGAUCAGAACUUCUCCUUAGUGAAACCUUGUCUCCAAAGUCAGACUCCAGCUUGCUAGGAUCUUUCAGGUGGCACCAGACUUCACCUAAACCAUUCCCUUUAGGGAGCUAAAGCUCAUGAUCGAUGGGGAAGAGCAAAAGCAUAGUUUUUCUGUGCAGCCAGAAACAACAUAAAGCAAGGAAUUCUGGUGCACUGGUCAGGGUUGGUAGAGGUGCCCUCCUGCACAGUAGAAAAGGCAGAGCUGAGGACCUGCGUGGCUCUGGGACUCCCAAUGCCCUGGCUCUGUGCUCCACAAAUGCUCUGCCAGAGCUGGUGGGAAGGCAAGAGAUUAGGCCAGCCUGGACUUUAUGGAGACCAAAUACCCAGACAUGUCGUGGUGGGCUAAGGUAAAGCCAGAGGGCAUUGCAGAAAUAGUUGAUCCAUUCACACUCCUGGGUCUCAAAGAACUGAAAUGACACAGACAAAACAGCCCUAACAUCUGUGAGGAGAGCAAAUCUCAUCUGUUCUUAUAUCUUCUCAUCCCACUACAAAGAUCUCUGUCCACAGCAAGGAGCAGGUGAUGUUGGUCUUCUGCAGGAAACAUGGUAACUAAACAUGAGUCAUAGAAUCAUAGAACCAAGUAGGCUGAAGAACACCUCGUCCAGAGAAGAAGUCAUCCCUUUACACACCCACGUACUUCAAAGAUGAGAGAUAAGUUCAGGAAUGUCUGCAGGAUGGAUGCAGAAGGAGUCACUCAGCACACCACUACCUCUGGGAGAAGAAGCCAGCUUCCUAAAUCACUGCAUGUUCCCUAGGUACCACAUGGUCCUGCAGUCCCAGCUGACUUCUCUCCCACAACUAUGGAGCAAUAAAAAAGCAUUGGGGAUCUAUGAAAGCA